rnacentral:rRNA from 1 species
CCCUUAGAUGUUCUGGGCCGCACGCGCGCUACAAUGAUGCAGGCAACGAGUGCCGCUCCUUAGCCGAAAGGCUUGGGGAAUCUUGAAAACUGUAUCGUGCUAGGGAUAGAUGAUUGCAAUCGUGCAUCUUGAACGAGGAAUGCCUUGUAAGCGUGAGUCAUCAACUCGCGCUGAAUACGUCCCUGCCCUUUGUACACACCGCCCGUCGCUCCUACCGAUUGGAUGGUCCGGUGAACUGGUCGGACUGCUGUUUGAAAUUGCGGGUGCAGUUGAUUCACGGGAAGUCUAGUAAACCUUAUCAUCUAGAGGAAGGAGAAGUCGUAACA